rnacentral:lncRNA from 1 species
CAGGAGGGUGCGAGGCUUCCGACCGCCCUGAACACUCUCGGCGGCCACUUGUAUGGAAACAGCAACAUGGUUUUGGGAUCAGCUCAAGUGAGUCCACAGAUCACGUCGUUGCAUGACCAAAGUCGCCCCUCCACUGACCUCCUUCACCUCGGCCGAGCGGGUUCGUCUCAAUUCGAACACCUUAUCGCUCCAUCCAAACCUUUGUCCUUCGGCGCACCUCAGCCCCCUCCUUACUCCUCCCCGUUCUACCUCGGCGGCGGCGGCUCCGACAAAGGCAUCAAUGGGGACACCCCGUCGCACCACUCCUUGCUUCAGAGUAAGAACUUCCACGGUCUAAUGCAACUUCCUGACCUGCAAGGCAAUACCACUGGCUCUUCCUCGUCCUCUGCUGCAGCAG